AUAUAUAUAUAUAUAUAUAUAUAUAACCAAGUAGUACUACAUCUGUAUAAAUUUCACAUCUACCACCAUUAUCAUCCUUAAUUCCAUGCAUCUACCCAUAUGAUGUCACAUCAAGCAUAUCUAUUAGACCUUAGGUGAAUAACCAGAGGCAGCACAACGAUGCAUAUGAUUUUCAAAUUUCUAACAUAUAGACCUGAUUCAGGAGGAUCACUGAACUCGAUGUGGAUCACUUUGGCUACUACGAAUAUUCAGGAGGAUCAUCAAACUCGAUGUAGUUCACUUUGGCCACUACGAGUAUCCAUGGGGAUCACCAAACUUGAUGUAGAACAUUCUGACCACAACGACUAUUUAAGAGGAUCACUAGACUCAAUGUGGAAUACUUUGGCCACUACGAGCAAGACUAGACAAGGUUCAGGAGUAAAAUCUGCCACAUCGGAAAACCGAGUCACAGACCAAACUUUAGAGGGCCAUAAUUUAGUCAUAUGAUGCCCGAUUGAGAUGAUCUUUUUUUUUUGAAUUGGGUAUCUUUUCGAGAUCUACAACUUUAGGCCAACCUCCUAAAAUCAAGCCGAAAUUCCAACAUUUAGGCUCCAAAACGGGCUAGUCAAAUCAAAAAUUUUCUUUUUAAAUAAUACAUUGAAGAAGCGUAGCUUUCUAAUCAAGAAGAAUUAGGUGGAGUGACAGAAGACAGAGUUAAUGGAUAAGUUGAGAUCUACAUCCUCGAAAUUUUUAGUUUUUUUAUUAGAAACAAUAUUUUAGAAGAAAGAGUCCCACAAUGAUUAGGAAGAGGAAUCUGAUCCAAAUUAUAUUAGGACAGACCUCACAUUAUAAAUAGAAGCUAUGUACCUCUUUUUUUUAAAGAUCAAUGAAAGAAAAGAGGACUUAAAUCUCUACUUUUGAGAAUCCUCCAUCUUCUUCUAGUUUUUCUAUUGAGAGAUUCGAGUUCAACAAGUUGAAGAAAAUCUUCCUUCUUUUCGAUUGGAUCAAGUUGGUAUCAGAGCCAUGCUUUUACCUAGUGGAAUUCUAACUUGAUCAUAUUAGAUCAAGUUGGUAUCAGAGCUCCGAUCCUCUAUAUCUGUGGGGGCCUCUAUUCAUGGUCCAGAUGCGCGAGUAUAUAAGCAGUCUGAAGAAGGGCUAUCCAUGCUUGAAGUACGGUGAAGGACAAAGGCAAGUAUAGCUACUAGUUCUAUCUCAAUGGAUGAUGAGAUAAUAAAACAUCUCACACAACUAGAGGAGAAGAUGGCUUAACUCACAUAGAUUGUGUCUCGAUUGGCGAUGCGUUCAACAUGAGUACCAACAACUCCUAUCUUCGGAUAAAACCACAUGGUUCAGUAAGGAGGUGAGGAAGCAAAAAAUUUUUCAUCUUCAGUUCUAAUUUAACAGGAGCUAAAUUCUCUAAAUAAGAAAAGAUCUGAUUCAAGAGAAUCACUGGACUUGAUAUUAAUCACUUUGGCCACUAUGAGUAUUCAGGAGGAUCACCAAACUUGAUGUGGAUCACUUUGGCUACUACGAGUAUCCAAGGGGAUCACCAAACUCCAUAUGUAAUACUCUGACUACUACGAGUAUUUAAGAAGAUCAUUAUACUCGAUAUGGAAUACUUUAGCCACUACAAGCAGGGCUCACAGGGCUUAAG
rnacentral:lncRNA from 1 species